UGGCUAUAAGAAAGAAUGUUAGUAGAACAUGAGAUAUCGCUCAGUCGUUUACCAUGAAGUAAAUAACAUAUUAGCAGAACAUUAUUUCCUUCAAGUCCAAGCUAGUCAAAGUGGUUCUCUCGCUCAAUUGCAACUCUUGGUCAGUGAAUCUGUAAUUAAAGUUGAGAGCUCCAUUAGGCAAUAAAAUAAUAAAGUGAAGCUUGUAAGAGAAGUUUCAGAUAGAGAGAAAAACAUGUCUAACGAGAAACCACCAACAAAGAUUUAUUCCACCAAUGAUUGUGAUCUCACAGAUCAAUUUUAGGAGAAACAAGGAUCAACUAAAGUUAAAAUGAUACAGAAGAGGAAAACUGGACGAAUUUUAUGGUUUCAUCGGUUACUUAAUUCUGAAACUAAACAAAGAGAUAGAUGCUCAAUAUCAUGGUAUCAGAGCUUAAGCUAUUGCAUUAUCUUUGUAAGCAAUUACCACAAAAAUAUUACUAGUUCAAUAACAGUAAGUCAUGCCAAUGCCAACAAGAGCUGAAGACAGAAUUAUUGGAAGCUUGAACGGUAUAUUGGAGACAAUUCAAUCAUUGAACAAUACAAUGAAAGAAAAGAAAUUGGAGGAUAGACUUUACAAGCGAAUUUCCGACUUAACUUUUCAGGAUAAUGAAUGAAAAAUCAAAAAAAAAAAGAAAAGAACCCUACGAACACUUUGUAUACAGGUAAAAACUGGGGCUGAUGCACACCCCGAUUUCCCGGUGGGUCAAAUGAAGCAACGACGUGACAACAUGAGAUCGGAAUGGAAGCUGGAAACUUCUCGUACUAAGCCCCGAAUGGAGUGUUCGCCAUCGGGUCAGAUAAGACAACACUCCCGAACCCGGAACGAGCUCCAAAACCUCGGAAAAGCAUGGCAAUGGUUGCACAUGACUAACAAAGGGACGUGAUAUCGGCACGCCACCGGUUAUCAAGGCCCAGAUCUCGCCUGACGUCGGCAGCGGAUCAGUAAUUCAAGAGAAAGGAGGAUUUUUACCUUUUUUAAAAUUGUACUAGGAUGUAACUCUCCUACUAUAUAUAGGGUAAGUUUUUUUCUUUAAUAAGACAUGGUAACACACAUAUCAAGGCAAUACAUACUUCCUCCGUUCCAGUUUAUGUGAACCUAUUUCUUUUUUGGUCUGUUCCAAAAAGUAUGAACCCUUUCAAAAUUUGGAAGCAAUUUAGCUUGAACUUACAAUUCUACCCUUAAUGAGAAGCUUUUAUAACCAUACAAAUACUUUAGACCCCUUUUUGACUUGUUUAGGACCACAAAUUUCAAAAAUCUUCAUGUUUUCUUAAAUUCUGUGCGCAGUCAAACAGAUUCACAUAAAUUAGAACGGAGGAAGUACUUAUUUCUCUACUUCCUAGCUAUUGAAAGGUUCUUAUUUUAAUUGUUGUUCUUCAUAUAUAAUUAUUUGGCUUCGAAUUAAGGGUCCGGUCGAUGACAAAACUAUUGUUCAGCUUAAAUCUGAGUCCAGCCUUAACGUCACAACUGGUUUGGUUAUUCAUUUUAUCUUUAACUUGUAUAUCUACUAUUAUUGAUUAUUUGUGUUGAAUCUAUCCACAUAUUCUUAAAACCGCAUAUAAUUCAAUUGUUAUAUGUUUUAAGGAUUAACACACUUCCUUACUGCAGAGAGUAAAACAGAACACCAACAAAUAUAUGCAAAACAUUCAAGUCAGCCUUAAUCACCACCUUUGGAUAAUUACAAUUAAACCAUCACAUUCAGUAAACAAAAACAACCAAAAAAGAGAAAGGCAAAAGUAAACACUGCAUAUGUAAGUAGCUUUAAUCCAACCACAAACAUUAUAACCUAUAAUGAAUUGAACUAUAUAUUCUAUUAGGAUAUAUUGUGUUGUGUAUCUUUUUAUUAUUGGUAGAUAUUCUCUCAUUAUUGUACCGUACUAUAGUUGGUAGGAUUUGAUAUUUUUACAGUCCUACAAUAAUGAGUAGGAUUUGAUAUUGUACAGUCCUACAAUAAUGAGAGAAUAUCUACCAAUACUAAAAAGAUACACAACACAAUAUAUCCUAAUAUAUUCUACUACUUACUAUUUAUAAGCCCAUAACCAAAAUUACAUGAAAAGAGCAAUAAUUUAACUUGAGGAGCUGACUUGGUGUGAUUUUGUAAGUCAAGGAACAGUCCAUUCAAUUUUUUUAAACUCACAUGAUUAAGGGUAAAAAACGAUAGAAUAAUUAAGCACAGAGAGAAAAAAGCAACGAACUAGUUCACUUCUUCUUAAUUAAUUAACUUCUUGAUUUUCUGUUUUUGGGUCUUUACAUAAUUUUUGUUCGAUAAACGACACCAACGCACGUCCAUACUAAGAUUUGAGUACGAAUAUUUAGAAGUUACAAAAUCAAACCAGCAUAAAUUUCAAGAAUUAUGCAUGCAAAAACACGUUUAAUUAACAAAGUAGUACCUGUCUCUGUUUCGUUUUACUUUUUUCUGGGUAUUUUUGUUGCCCACUUGGUUGGCGGGGGAAGGGAGGAGGAGACAGACGACAGGACUAAAACUUUGGUCUCUG
rnacentral:lncRNA from 1 species